AAAGUGGAUAUACAUUCGAAAGAGCUCAACAAUUUUUAUGUCAACUAUGUAACCACAACAGUCAGUACUUCGUACAGCCUACAGCAACCUCGUUUCCUUUGAAGAUGUCUUCUCCCCAUUAGUAAGCUACAAAACACACUAAAUACGGUCAAUUAGUGGCGCAAAAAAAGAUGUCUUCUAUUUCCUGAUGUGAAACUCAUUUUAUACCUUAAAAUGACGAACCUCAUGAACCCUUCUUAUUAGAUCAUAGGCAAAGAAGCUUCCAAUACUUCCACUAGUUGAACUUCUUGGAGUCAUGACAAAUGCUGAAAUGGAUGCUCCCAAAAAAUUGUAGAUACCUUAAACUUAUAACAUCACACGUCAAAGCAAAGAAAAGGAGGACAACCAUAUUGUUCAAGCAAAAUUCCUCUAUUUGAAUCCUCUGAAAUGAUUUUCAUUGACAAUUUUAUGUAGUUUUGCAUUUUAGCUACUAAUAAUAUAUGCCCAAAUAAGGUACGUAACAUGUAAAUUUGAAAGAUACACUAAUAUUUUUUCAUCUACUAUCUAUUCUAUAUUAUCACCACAUUCACCCGUCCUAAAACUAAAAGGAAAAAUAACUCUAAUUUUUUUUACAUAAGUUGUGCAGUGAUAAACACCUUACUCCUAGAAGCCCAAUCCUUUUUAAGAAAUUAAUAAAGUAUAUCAGGUAGAAGUGACCUAAUAGUAAUUAUUAUUGAUUAAUCAAAGAUAUAUUUUACAUCAAUUCGGAGCAUGAAUGUCGAGUCAUUCUCUAAAGAGGUAACUCACUUUCCUUGCUUUUUUUUGGAUGGUUAUUUUCUCCUUUGGCUCUCAAGCAUCAAAGGGGGAAUUUCCUUUGAUCAUUAGGUAUAAUCUCAGAUGUGAUGGAAAUUAGAGGCAAUUUUGAUUCUAGAUUUCCUAUUAUUUAUAAGUACAAACAACUCAACAAUAACAUGACCGACUUAUAUGAGAAUCAUGAUCAUAGAUUGUAAACUCGAUCACUAACUUUUAGACAAACAUUCUGCACUGAAGUUACAUUUAGCUCCUUCUUCGUCUUCACUUUCUAAGUUGAUCACACGGAAUAAAAUCAAAGCAUCAAGAUGAUAAAUAUAAUGCUAAAAGUUUAAAAUGAACCAUUUCUAAAAUUCAAUAUAAAAGAUCAAAUUAACUUUUAAUACAUUGAAAUAACUAGGUACACCUAAAAUAAGAUAUUAAGAAUGGAUUACAAAAUACAAAACACAAUAUAUAAUCAAACAUGAAUUCUUUAUAGAUUAGGCAAGUUGAACAAAGAGAUUAAGUCGGUGAAUAAUUAUACUAAACCUUCUUACUAACCUAUGCAUGUCUUCUGUCAAUAAUUUAUUAAUAUCUAAAUAUAGAACGCAAAAUAUAUGCCACUAUCAUCCUCACCAUACAUGUCGAUAUAUUCUUGUAAGAGCCACUAAAAAGUCAUAAAAUUAGUAUAAGCACAAGCCACAACAAUAAGAUAUACAUAAUGAGUAAAUCAAUAACUUUUAAAAAUUCGAUAUCAAAUUAAAUAUGUGACUUCAUGAUCUAUGCAUUGAUCAUCGACUUUUUUUACAACAUAAACUUAAACAGUAAGUUAGGUGAGGUCAAAAUAACCUUAAUUGAAAAUUUAAACAUAUUAAGCACAUGUAAGAAAAUAUAGAUAAAGAUAGCAUACGUUAAUUCAGUACUUAGCCAGUUGAAACUCUGUGACAGAUUAUCGAUAAAUAAUAACACCAAAUAAGCUAAGAAUAAAAUCGAGAGAUUGAAUAGAAAAAUAUAAUAUAUGAAUUUCUAAAAUCUCUAAUAAGUGAAUAUACCAAAAAGGAAAAGUACAAUUUCGGCACAACAAGAGAAGGAGAAGUAAACAAAGAUUCCACUGUUAAAAAGAAAGGAAAAACGACAGAAAUAGCUAAAGAUAGCAAUUUAGUAGUAGAAUUGCUAAGAGUUCUUUUCCCAAAAAGAAAAGAGAACCCUGAAAAAUUCUAUGUAAAAUAAAAAUAGAGAACUUUGUUAGAUUAUGCGCUAGCUCAUUAAAUUUUUUGGAAAACUUUUCACCUGGAAAGUUGCUAAUAAGUACUAUUGAUUUUAAUUUUUAAGUGAUACAUUGUCUCUUCAAAAGAAAAAGAAGCAUACGUAUCAACGCAUAGCACGCUACAUUUUUAAAUUGCUAUAACAACCAUGAAUGCUAAUUAAGAUUCAAAAACAUUGACAUAAGAGAUUAGCAUAUGCUAAAUCAAGAUUAAUGCCCACAUGAAGAAAUGAAAUAGCAACCAAACUAAUAAUUUCAUGUAUAAAUUAGCUGAUAGCAGCCGAAAUAGUAAGAACAGAUAUACAAAAAGUUGUAAGUGACUUGACCACAAUAAACAAAUAAGAUUUAGCGACAAUGUUUGUUUUACAAAUUCAUAUCAAACGAUUUUCAUUGUUUAUCAAAAUCAAAACAUAAAAGGAAAAAACAAAAAUAAUUGACUAAUAUUGAAAAGCAGUUAACCUUAAAAUUUAUAAGACCAAAGUGAGAAAGAGCAUGAAAAAUUGAAACAAGUAUUGGAGAAGAAGAUCUAAGAGCUUGUAAAUCCAUACAUGAGGUGGCAGAGAUAAAUUCAUGUAAG
rnacentral:lncRNA from 1 species